rnacentral:misc_RNA from 1 species
UCUCCGUUGGUGAACCAGCGGAGGGAUCAUUACAAGAGUUGAAAAACUCCCUACACCCUCUGUAAACUUACCUGUUCAGUUGCUUCGGCAGGCGGCCCCGGGGCGGGGCCUCUGGCUUGCGUUUAGCAGGUGCCUGCCGACAGCCCACUAUAAAAACUAUUGCCGUACCGUACCGCUCAGAGUCACAUAAACAAAUGAAUCAAAACUUUCAACAACGGAUCUCUUGGUUCUG